rnacentral:siRNA from 1 species
UCAUACCAGUGGGUUGCC